rnacentral:rRNA from 1 species
CCUACGGGAGGCAGCAGUGAGGAAUAUUGGUCAAUGGACGAGAGUCUGAACCAGCCAAGUAGCGUGAAGGAUGACUGCCCUAUGGGUUGUAAACUUCUUUUAUAUGGGAAUAAAAUGUUCCACGUGUGGGAUUUUGUAUGUACCAUAUGAAUAAGGAUCGGCUAACUCCGUGCCAGCAGCCGCGGUAAUACGGAGGAUCCGAGCGUUAUCCGGAUUUAUUGGGUUUAAAGGGAGCGUAGGUGGAUUGUUAAGUCAGUUGCGAAAGUUUGCGGCUCAACCGUAAAAUUGCAGUUGAAACUGGCAGUCUUGAGUACAGUAGAGGUGGGCGGAAUUCGUGGUGUAGCGGUGAAAUGCUUAGAUAUCACGAAGAACUCCGAUUGCGAAGGCAGCUCACUGGACUGCAACUGACACUGAGGCUCGAAAGUGUGGGUAUCAAACAGGAUUAGAUACCCGAGUAGUC